rnacentral:rRNA from 1 species
UCAGGACGAACGCUGGCGGCGCGCCUAACACAUGCAAGUCGAACGGAGAUUACAGGCGGAAGUUUUCGGAUGGAAGCUUGUAAACUUAGUGGCGGACGGGUGAGUAACACGUGAGCAACCUGCCUAUCAGAGGGGGAUAACGAUUGGAAACGAUCGCUAAUACCGCAUGACAUAGCGGAAUCGCAUGGUUCUGCUAUCAAAGAUUUUAUCGCUGAUAGAUGGGCUCGCGUCCGAUUAGAUAGUUGGUGGGGUAACGGCCUACCAAGUCGACGAUCGGUAGCCGGACUGAGAGGUCGAACGGCCACAUUGGGACUGAGACACGGCCCAGACUCCUACGGGAGGCAGCAGUGGGGGAUAUUGCACAAUGGGGGAAACCCUGAUGCAGCGACGCCGCGUGAGGGAAGACGGUCCUCUGGAUUGUAAACCUCUGUCUUCGGGGACGAAACGAGACGGUACCCGAGGAGGAAGCCACGGCUAACUACGUG